AUUGAACGCUGGCGGCAGGCCUAACACAUGCAAGUCGAACGAGUGGCGGACGGGUGAGUAAUGUCUGGGAAACUGCCUGAUGGAGGGGGAUAACUACUGGAAACGGUAGCUAAUACCGCAUACCCUCGGAUGUGCCCCGAGGGGAUUAGCUAGUAGGUGGGGUAAAGGCUCACCUAGGCGACGAUCCCUAGCUGGUCUGAGAGGAGGACCAGCCACACUGGAACUGAGACACGGGCCAGACUCCUACGGGAGGCAGCAGUGGGGAAUAUUGCACAAUGGGCGCAAGCCUGAUGCAGCCAUGCCGCGUGUAUGAAGAAGGCCUUCGGGUUGGAAAGUACUUUCAGCGGGGAGGCGUUACCGGCAGAAGAAGCACCGGCUAACUCCGUGCCAGCCGCCGCGGUAAUAC
rnacentral:rRNA from 1 species